rnacentral:rRNA from 1 species
CAGCAGCCGCGGUAAUACAGAGGGUGCGAGCGUUAAUCGGAUUUACUGGGCGUAAAGCGUGCGUAGGCGGCUUCUUAAGUCGGAUGUGAAAUCCCUGAGCUUAACUUAGGAAUUGCAUUCGAUACUGGGAAGCUAGAGUAUGGGAGAGGAUGGUAGAAUUCCAGGUGUAGCGGUGAAAUGCGUAGAGAUCUGGAGGAAUACCGAUAACGAAGGCAGCCAUCUGGCCUAAUACUGACGCUGAGGUACGAAAGCAUGGGGAGCAAACAGGAUUAGAUACCCCAGUAGUCCCUGUCUCUUAUAA